rnacentral:rRNA from 1 species
AUGGAUGCCGGCCUGCUAGCAAUGGCCUGCUCUGGCCCUUUCCAAGAUCUGGAAUCACUCCUCAACGGGAAGCCAGCCGUCUACACCCUCGGAAGCUCGGCAAGGCAGCCACCUCAUCUGUACGCGGUCACCGUUGGAGGUGAGUCCCUUCUCCACUUGGUCGCUGCCGUCUACGGCGAUUCUGAGGACUCCACCAAGAAGGCCAGCCUCCUCUACGACAAGGCACCCAGCCUCCUCUUCGUGCAAAACAGCCAGGGGGACACACCCCUGCACUAUGCUGCACGGGCGGGCAACAUGAGAAUGGUGGCUCUUCUCAUUGAUCUCGCCAAUGGUGAGGGUAUUAACAAUGCAAAGGGACUUCUUGAAACACAAAACAAGAUCCAUGAGACAGCCUUGCAUGAGGCCGUCCGCUCUGGGAACAAUGAUAUGGUCAAGUUGUUCAUGGAGGAGAACCCACAACUGGCCCGGUUUCCUGAACAAGGUACUUCGCCGUUGUACCUAGCCGUUUUACUGGAAAACAAAAUCAUCGCAAAAACACUCUACGACUUGAGUGGCGGGCUUCUUUCAUACUUUGGACCAGAUGGACGAAAUGCAUUGCAUGUGGCUGUUCAAGGAAGCCAAGAUCUUAUGAAGAUGUUGUUAGAGUGGAACGACAACCUUACGUUACAAGGGGACAAAAACGGAAGUACACCUCUUCACUUUGCUGUUAUCGGUACUCUACGGCAAAUAUGUUCACAAUUAUUGAUAGCCAGUCCAGAUGCAUUGUAUCAACACGACCAUAAUGGAUCAUUUCCCACACACGUGGCUGCCUCCGUCGGUGCAACAAGGGUCAUCGCUGACUUUCUUAUGAAAUCCCCCAAUUGCGCUGAUCUGCGUGAUGCAAGGGGAAGGACAUUUCUUCAUGUUGCAGUUGAUAGAAUGGAUAUAGGGACUGUCGAUUAUGCUUGUCGAAACAUAUCGUUGUCAUGGAUUUUGAAUAUGCAAGACAAAGAUGGGAACACUGCACUGCACCUAGCUAUAAGAAAAGGAAGUCUACGAAUGUUUUGUUCUUUACUCGGUAAUAGACAAGUACAAUUGAAUUUAAAGAACGAGAAAGGGAAGACUCCGCUAGAUACAGCGCGUCACGCUAUUCCUAAAGGAAUAUAUGUCAAAGGGGAAAAUGAAGUAAGGAUACUCAAAGCACUCAAAUAUGUUGGUGCUAAAAGGGGUAUUGUUCACCAGGGAUUCUUGGAUGAAUAUGAUAUUGACCAAGCAAGACAGGAAGAAAUACAUAUAAUGAGUCAAGUGAAAGAGGGAACACAAAGUUUAUGUAUCGGCUCGGUCUUAAUUGCAACCGUCACAUUUGGUGCAACUUUCACUAUGCCAGGAGGUCUUAGAGAUGAUGAUGAAACUAAUGCAGGCUCACCAAUACUUGCUGGAACAUUUCAUUUUUAUGCAUUCAUUGUGGCCAACACACUUGCCUUCACCCUCUCGGUCAUGGCUACAAUUUCUUUCAUAUUUUCUGGGGAUCCUAUGGUACAUCUUCGAACAAGAAAAGUGCUAUUUAUAAGGGCCAUCCCUCUCUUGCUGAUUUCAGUGUCAAGCAUGGUAGUUGCCUUUGCACUUGGUACUUAUAUGAUGUUAGCUCCAAUUGCUCCUGUGUCUGCACUUGCAAUAUUUCUCAUCUUGAUUCUCAUAUUGGUGUAUUACUCUUGGGGAAUGACAAUCAGCCGUAUUGUUCUCUUCACUGCACUCUGUAAGAGAAAGGGGAAAUGGUACGGGAUAGUCUGGGCAUGGCCAUGUGCAUUCUUACUCGUGGUCCUUAUCCUUUCUUCUCUACUAUUGCUGGCCUUUAAGUUGGCCCAGGUGAGUCACACCGGUGGCAAAGUGGAACCACCAGCACAACCGCCAACACCAUUUGCUUGA